ensembl:processed_transcript Gm12367 predicted gene 12367
GAAUCUGCAGGGCUCCCCGGUGCGGAUCUCUGCAGUCUUGUUUCCUUCUUUUGUCCUUGGUCACCGUUGUGGAGUUAAGUUGCGAGCUGAGGCAACCAAAACGCACCUCCCUCGCACACCCUCCCUGGACUGUCUAGACACCACUUUCCACCUAGAAGGAAAGGGCAAUUGGGAUGGCUGUCACUACAAACGCCAUCUUUCACGUGGGCGGAACUCGUCUCUGCUUGACGCGCCGCGGUUCCCUCGUGGGACUCCAUAGGAGAGAGAAAAGCCAGAGGAAGAUUCCAGAGAGAAAGAAGAAGACUGGAUAUGACCAGCAGACUGGACACGGACUUGGCUACAGAAGUGGGGGAGUGAGAGAAAAUAGUGGAGAUAGUGAGGUAUCAAGAGAGAGAAUACAGCAUAGAAAGAGAUAAGAAUAAGAAAGAGCAAGGGUGGGAAUAGUGGAGAAUAGCCAGUUAAAGGGAAGGCGAGUAGCUGCAGGGAGGGACGGGCCAGGAGACCUGGCUUGGAGGCUUUGAAAUGUAUAACAAGCAUUUGGGGGAUGAGGGAGUCUGAAGUCUCAUGGGCUUUGAUAUGCAGCCACUGUCAAUGGCCCAUGUCAUAUGUCAACGAUAUACGUUGUAUGUCCCUUCUGCCAGAGGUAAGGGGAAUGACUCCUUUUUGCAGAUGGGAACUGGCUUUACAAGUUCCUGAGGACCGAUGACUUUUUAUUAGGUAUUUUCCUUGUUUACAUUUUCAAUGCUAUCCCAAAAGUCCGCCAUACCCACCCCCCCCAAUCCACUACCCACCCACUCCCCCGUUUUGGCCCUGGGGUUCCCCUGUACUGGGGCAUAUACAGUGACUUUUAUAUAACAGUCAGAACUCUUACAGUUCAGCUUGAACCCAUUUCUGGAUAUGUGAGCAGCCUGAGACCUAACAGAAAGCUUUAUAGAAAAUAUACAUUGUGAGGUUCCAACUGAAAACCUACAGCAUCACCAUCUCUGGUGGUACCGCCCGUGAAUAUGCAUUUUCAAAAUGUUUUGAGCUGUGAUGGUUUGGAUGCUUGGUCAUAUGGGCACUAUUAGGAGGUGUUGACUUACUGGAGGAGGUGUGGCCUUGUUGGAGGAAGUGUGUCACUAUGUAGGUAGUCUUUAAGGCCUUCUGUGCUUAGGUUCCACCCAACAUGGAAGAGAGUCUCCUCCUAGCUGUCUGCAGAAGAUAGUUUCCUGCUGCUGCCUUUGGAUCAAGAUCAAGACAGUGCUCUUCCAGCACCAUGUCUGCCUGGAUGCUGCCAUGUUUCCCGCUAUGAUGACAAGGGACUGAACCUCUGAAACUGUUAGCCAGCCCCAAUUAAAUGUUGCCCCUUUUAAAGAGUUGCCUUGGAUAUAGUGCCUCUUCAUGGUGAUAAAACCCUAAAACAGGAGCCAAUCACUUGGCUGCGGAAGCACUAUCUUAGCUCUUGGUCAUCCUUUGAAAUGAGGUAAAGAGAAAUCAAUACACAUAGAAUAUAAAAAAACCGUAUUAAAGAAACAUGUAGAAAGUACCCCACUUGUCCAGAAAACAGAUACAAAGAAGUUAUACUAGUUGAUGUAAUUUGUGUUGGUUACCAUAAUCACAACACUCAUGUCUUGGGCACUGAAUGUAGUAGAACUCAGACUGUUCUCAUGAAGUGGUUUCCUCACAACUGAACCAUGAACUGAGACUCUGAACUUCACAUUUGAUGCUCCUUACCACACAGCCUCCCCACUGGCUAUAUGGGUCAAGAAAGAGAGGGUCAUAUUUAAAGAAUUUGUAAAGAACAAGUAGUAUGCAUUCCCUAUGGUCAUACUGCUUGCAUAAAAGUUGUCACAGCACCUCAGCAAGAUGAAGGAAGGCAAGGAAAUGAGAUCCUGAGUAUUUAGGAAGGAUAGAAAAUGACGUGGAAAACAGUGCCUUUGCCACUGGUAUGAGAAGUGGAGUCUCCAUUGAUUAAGCAACCUGAUCUUUUGCCAAGUGAGUGGGAAAGCAGACCACCAAGGAGAUGUGGUCAGCAAGUGCGAGCUUCUACAAAGGCCAUCCUGCUCCAAACGCUCCAGCCAAAGAAUGCAUGGUAACAGAGGCACUGUGACCUCACAUUAUAAAUAAAAGACUCAAAUC